rnacentral:rRNA from 1 species
UAGCAGUGAAAUGCGUAGAGAUGUGGAGGAACACCGAUGGCGAAGGCAGCCCCCUGGGUCGACACUGACGCUCAUGCACGAAAGCGUGGGUAGCAAACAGGAUUAGAUACCCUGGUAGUCCACGCCCUAAACGAUGCCAACUAGGUGUUGGGGAAGGAGACUUCCUUAGUACCGUAGCUAACGCGUGAAGUUGGCCGCCUGGGGAGUACGGUCGCAAGAUUAAAACUCAAAGGAAUUGACGGGGACCCGCACAAGCGGUGGAUGAUGUGGAUUAAUUCGAUGCAACGCGAAUAACCUUACCUACCCUUGACAUGCCAGGAAUCCUGCUGAGAGGUGGGAGUGCCCGAAAGGGAGCCUGGACACAGGUGCUGCAUGGCUGUCGUCAGCUCGUGUCGUGAGAUGUUGGGUUAAGUCCCGCAACGAGCGCAACCCUUGUCAUUAGUUGCCAUCAUUUAGUUGGGCACUCUAAUGAGACUGUCGGUGACAAACCGGAGGAAGGUGGGGAUGACGUCAAGUCCUCAUGGCCCUUAUGGGUAGGGCUUCACACGUCAUACAAUGGUCGGUACAGAGGGUUGCCAAGCCGCGAGGUGGAGCCAAUCCCAGAAAGCCGAUCGUAGUCCGGAUUGCAGUCUGCAACUCGACUGCAUGAAGUCGGAAUCGCUAGUAAUCGUGGAUCAGCAUGUCACGGUGAAUACGUUCCCGGGUCUUGUACACACCGCCCGUCACACCAUGGGAGUGGGUUUCACCAGAAGUAGGUAGCCUAACCGCAAGGAGGGCGCUUACCACGGUGGGAUUCAUGACUGGGGUG